UGUUAAAACCCUAGCAAUAGUUUUUUCUCCUAGCCGCCCCCUUCUCCAAAUUCUUUUCUCUUCCUCCAGAGCCGUCACCCUCCCUAAAUUUUUUUUCUCUCUUCAAGAGACACUACUGUCAAGCAUAGUUUGGAAGCUUUUUUUUUUCACUUUGAGCUCUAGUUUAAUUGUAGGUCGUUUCCUCUUCCUUUUCCUCUUACUCUGAAAUCUGGAACUACCUCUGGAUCCCUCCUCAUUUCUUACUCAAAAGAACUCAGUCAACGAUCCUUCUCCCAACUCAAAAUCAUCAACUCGAUCUCGUAGCCAGGAGGCGUUUGUGCUAAUUGAGGAAGAGAUAAAAAUACCCUAGUAGUUUUUAGGGAAAAAUAAAAAAUAACCGCCGCUCCUCCUCCGCACGCUCCGCCAAUCGCUCCCUCCGACGAGGUUUGCACGAUCUUCAUAACGGGAUUGCCCGAAGACGUGAAGGAGAGUGAGCUGCAAAACCUUCUGCGGUGGCUACCUGGCUAUGAAGCUUUUCAGGUUAAAUUCAAAGGCGAGAAGCCUAUGGGAUUCGCUCUCGCCGCCAAAGACGCUCUUCAGGAGAUGGUUUUUGAUGCGAGUCGAAGUCGGUGUUGCACACGGAGAUGGCGAAGAAGAAUCUGUUUGUGAAAAGAGGUUGGAUAUAGGCACAUUGAUUGUGCUUAAGUUUACGACAAUGAGAAGGAGGUAAUUUUGCAUAACACCAGAUAUUGUAUAUCAUUUUAGUUGCCAUUUCAUAUCAUGACAUUUUGUUAAGUCAUUCAACUUUGGUUAGAUCUACUCUCAAGUGUUUUUUUUUUCCUAAAAAUGUUUCUGACCAAAUUGCAGGGGUACUAUAUAGUGCAUUUCACCUUUCAUGUCACUGUGUGGUCUAUGAAGCUUACUGCUUGAUUUGCUAAGAAAUUACUAAAAGCUAGCAGAAGUAACCAUAUUCCUUAGAAUAAUUUAGAAAUGGUCAAUAGUCAUCUCUUUCAUCUUCAUGGCAUAGCUCACUCCUGAUAUUUUCUAAGUCAACCAAGUGUGGGGCAAUGUUAGGAUUUAGUUGUGAGCAAUUUAAUAAAUCAUGUUAAAUAUAAAUAAUUUGAUAUUGUUAUAACACCUCCCUCACAUAUUUUCGAUGAUUGGUUGAAUCUGAUAUUGCUUUGGAUCCUGGCUCGUCCGUGAACUCCUCCAUCGUGGCUACAAUGUCCAUGCCACCGUCCAAGAUCUCAAGGAUGAGAAUGAAACGAAGCAUUUAGAAGGUCUAGAAGGAGCUGAAACUCGUCUCCGUCUCUUCCAGAUUGAUCUCCUUGACUACCCCUCCAUUCUCCGCGCUGUUAAUGGUUAUACCGGUGUCUUCCACCUCGCCUCUCCCUGCAUCGUCAAUCAAGUCCAAGACCCCCACAUUAAAACGACAGCGCAGUUAGAUGCAGCUCUUUCAUUUUUUGGAACUACUGCUUCGGAGGAUUUUAAGUUGAAUGAAUUUGAAGAAGCCUGUGGUGUUGGUGUUGAGGUUUCAGUUGAAGAAAUUGAACAAGCUGUAAAUGAGGUUUUUGAAGAGAAUAAGAAUGUGAUUUUGGAGCAACGCUAUUGAACAAAUGUGGGUGAAUUGAUAGGGCACGUUCGGAGGCGGCACCCAUGGGGUGAUCCAAAAAUUGUGAAGGUUUGUCUGGACAUUAGAACAAUAAAACUGUCUGCAAAUUCUCUUGGGUAGCUUUUUGUUGUACUUUUUUUAAAAAUGUUUUGUGUUUAAUUAUAUUGGUUGACUCAUCAAUCUCUCAUUCUCUCUCUCUAAAUAUAGACACACACAUAUGUAAUCCCAAAUUGAACUGUUUUUGGGGUACAUGGCUUUGUACUUGUGCAGAGAAUGUACCCUGGUUUUGGAAAUUUUAUGUGUUUUGUAUCCUGGAAAUUGUUAUAGAACAUUUUUAUAUUGUUUGUACGUUAAUCUUGUUAAAUUUGUGAUGCAAUCCAUCUAGAUAGUUAGCACAUAUUUCAUUUGACUUGACUCCAUAUUAUGUAUAGUAAUGAUGCAGUAGCCUGAUG